CCUGUGAACAUACCACUUGUUGCCUCGGCGGAUCAGCCCGCUCCCGGUAAAACGGGACGGCCCGCCAGAGGACCCCUAAACUCUGUUUCUAUAUGUAACUUCUGAGUAAAACCAUAAAUAAAUCAAAACUUUCAACAACGGAUCUCUUGGUUCUGGCAUCGAUGAAGAACGCAGCAAAAUGCGAUAAGUAAUGUGAAUUGCAGAAUUCAGUGAAUCAUCGAAUCUUUGAACGCACAUUGCGCCCGCCAGUAUUCUGGCGGGCAUGCCUGUUCGAGCGUCAUUUCAACCCUCAAGCACAGCUUGGUGUUGGGACUCGCGUUAAUUCGCGUUCCCCAAAUUGAUUGGCGGUCACGUCGAGCUUCCAUAGCGUAGUAGUAAAACCCUCGUUACUGGUAAUCGUCGCGGCCACGCCGUUAAACCCCAACUUCUGAAUGUUGACCUCGGAUCAGGUAGGAAUACCCGCUGAACUUAAGCAUAUCAAUAAGCGGAGGA
rnacentral:misc_RNA from 1 species